GGUGAAUUUAACAAGGACACUCUUCCCACAAUCCUGCAAACUGCUGGAUCACUCAACAAGUACUUAAAAAAUGUCCUGACCAUUAUUUCCUGCUCUUCUCCUCAGACUUUGCUGAAAACUUUGAUUUGAUAGAGGCCACACAAUUGCCCAGUGCUGCAUCUUCCUGACAGUCUUGUCUCUGAUUCUGGAUGCACAUCUGAGCACCGUGUCUGGAAGUUCUGAGGCUCUUUAUAACCCUGAGAACCUAGAGAAUAAAGGAAGGAAACAACAUAUAUUUCUCGAAUGAAGUGGCUAAACAGCACUUGUGAGUCAUGAUAUGAAAGGAAAUAAUUUGAAUUAGAUGGAUAUCCCAGGCAAAUAUAUUGACCCAGAAAAAAGAAAGCAAGACCUCUGAGUGAUGUAAAUAAUCUCAUAUGUAGAAAUAUAUGUAUUUUUUAGUUACAUACUUAAGUCACCAUGUUAAUUCCAGUGCUUAACAAUUGUAUUGUGCAAUUGAAGAGCAGAAAAAAUGUUCUUG
rnacentral:lncRNA from 1 species